UAGCCGUAAACGAUACUCGCUAGGUGUCGGCCACGGUGCGUCCGUUGUCGGUGCCGUAGGGAAGCCGUGAAGCGAGCCACCUGGGAAGUACGGCCGCAAGGCUGAAACUUAAAGGAAUUGGCGGGGGAGCACCACAACGGGUGGAGCUUGCGGUUUAAUUGGAUUCAACGCCGGAAAUCUUACCGGGACCGACAGCAACAUGAAGGCCAAGCUGAAGACUUUGCCGGAUUAGCUGAGAGGAGGUGCAUGGCGUAGUCGUGU
rnacentral:rRNA from 1 species